UACGUAGGGUGCGAGCGUUAAUCGGAAUUACUGGGCGUAAAGCGUGCGCAGGCGGUUGUGUAAGACAGGUGUGAAAUCCCCGGGCUUAACCUGGGAAUUGCAUUUGUGACUGCACGGCUAGAGUUUGGCAGAGGGGGGUAGAAUUCCACGUGUAGCAGUGAAAUGCGUAGAUAUGUGGAGGAAUACCGAUGGCGAAGGCAGCCCCCUGGGUCAAGACUGACGCUCAUGCACGAAAGUGUGGGGAGCAAACAGG
rnacentral:rRNA from 1 species